rnacentral:rRNA from 2 species
UGACCUCGGAUCAGGUAGGACUACCCGCUGAACUUAAGCAUAUCAAUAAGCGGAGGAAAAGAAACCAACAGGGAUUGCCCCAGUAACGGCGAGUGAAGCGGCAACAGCUCAGAUUUGGAAUCUGGCCCCCAGGGCCCGAGUUGUAAUCUGGAGAGGAUGCUUCUGGCGCGGCGCCUUCCGAGUUCCCUGGAACGGGACGCCGGAGAGGGUGAGAGCCCCGUACGGUCGGACGCCUAGCCUUUGUGAAGCUCCUUCGACGAGUCGAGUAGUUUGGGAAUGCUGCUCAAAAUGGGAGGUAAAUUUCUUCUAAAGCUAAAUAUUGGCCAGAGACCGAUAGCGCACAAGUAGAGUGAUCGAAAGAUGAAAAGCACUUUGAAAAGAGGGUUAAAAAGUACGUGAAAUUGUUGAAAGGGAAGCGCCCGUGGCCAGACUUGUGCCCCGUGGACCACCCAGCGCCCUCAGCGCUGGUGCACUCCGCGGGGCGCAGGCCAGCAUCGGUUUUUCCAGGGGGACAAAGGCGGCGGGAACGUGGCUCCCUCGGGAGUGUUAUAGCCCGCCGCGCCAUGCCCCUGGGGGGACCGAGGACCGCGCUCGGCAAGGAUGCUGGCGUAAUGGCCACCGGCGACCCGU